rnacentral:misc_RNA from 1 species
AAGUCGUAACAAGGUUUCCGUAGGUGAACCUGCGGAAGGAUCAUUAACACGUAUCUACGUUGAUCUCUACCACACCCACUCUGUGAACCGGGAACGAACUCGUUGUGAUGCGUCGAUCGAGAGAGAUCUCGCUCGUGCAUUGGUUCCGACCCACCCUUUUUUUCACCCCAUUCUUGACUCUCCGUUUUGAACCCCCGAGUGGCCUGAUCACGAGGUGUCCCCUAGUGGGACCCGAACCAUAUGGAUUUUCCAAUGAGUUUACACAGCACAACUCUUAGCAAUGGAUAUCUUGGUUCUC